rnacentral:lncRNA from 13 species
UUUAAAGAGGUGCAAUGAGUCAGAAUUACUGGGGUCCAGGGAGGCAGCAAAUGUGCAGCUUUGUUGAUCCUAACUCAUCAUUCUGUGAUGCUGGGCAUUUUAGGGGUCUAAGCUAGAAUUGCUGAGUUUGAAUCAUGUAAGAAUGAAGGCACAGAGAUAAGAUUAGGACUGAAAUAUUACCUUCAUUAAACUGAUUUGCACCCAUAGUUUUAGAUUUGUGGCUGAAAGAGAUUGAAAACAAAGUUCCAACUUUUUUCCCCAGGAACUGAACUUCCUCCUGCAGAAAACUUCCUGCUAAGACUAUUACAUCUUGGAGAACAAACUGGAAUGGUAGAGUCACGUGGCCAGGCUGGCUCCUCAAAAGACCCCAGAAGGGGUGAGCCAAGCCUGGCCAAACAUGUCCUUCUUAAAAAUUCACCUAAUCAGCAAGUCAUUUCUCUCAUGGGGUAGAGUGAGGAGUGAAAAGAGGCAGAGAGCAAUCCUAUUCUAUUCAUCUCUCCAAGGAAAACAUGAGGAGAGAAAUACCAUUGUAAUUACCAAAUAAAACCACGUCUACAAAAGCGAGGUAGAAAGAUAAGGAUAAACACAACUUCAAAUUUAGGAAUAUGAUCCAGAGCCUGAUGAAACCCUUCACUAUGACCUAGUAAGUCACAAUUUUCUACCCAUCAUGUUUAUUUUGAAGGACUUUGUUAUUGUAUAGUACAAAUGAAGCAGGAGUUUCAUAUGUUUUUAUCUAGAUAUAUGAAUAGGUGUGUGCGUGAAUGUGUAUGUAAAUUACCUGUUCAUGGCAGCAUAUGCAUAUGUAAAUGUGAUGCCUGUGCUUUCCUGACAUAAAUGUUUCAUAGGUUUCUGUUAUGAGGUUUGAGCCUGGAGGUUUGGACCUCUGUGUGUUGCCUUUGAGCUACCUCUCACAUGUAAUUUGCACAUUAAACAUGUAUGCGUGCUUCUUUAUAGCUCUAUAAUUGUCACAUCUACAUAAUAUAUGUGCUGAAUAGACAAAGAGCUUCUUUUCCUUUUGAAUUAAAAUUUCAAAAAUACUAAUCCAUCUUCAGAAGCAAAAACACUGAUCGAAGCAUGCAAUAAGAUACUCAUUAACACCGAGCAAUGAAAAACCGGUUGUAAUUAUGCAAUAAGUUCUGGUGGUGGGCACAGAGAACUAUGCAAUAGGCUUUACAAGUCAUAACUCCACCUCAGCACAUCUGACCAGCAGCCAGACCCUACCCUGGGUCUCUUGUAAUUAUCCAACAUC